AACUUGAGCAGGCUCUGUAUGCACUCUGAGAGUGAUACCAAACUGAAAAAGCCUCUAGGCCUACACCAGUGAAUCCUGAAGCUCUUUGGGUCAAGGGAUUGAAACCCUUUCUUCCCAUAACACAUCCACUGUGUAGCACAGUAUACUACUGUGACCUAGGCUCUGGUACCAUACAGCUGCUCUAAACAUAAAACUGAAAACUGUAAAACUCUUUUACUUCAAACUUUUCUUUCAUUUACCAAGUUUGACCUGUAUACACUAUGUCUCAAAACAUAGAACCACAUCUAGAUGGGUCAGCAUAAUACAUCAGGCUUGGUUCAACACAUUUCUCAUCAAGAAACGUAAAACAGGGUCCAUGUACAAAGGGAUUAUCCAAACUCUAGGGCCAAGCACAAACUAUAACUCUGAAUACAAUACAUGUUAAAACAUGUCUAUACAUAACUUAACUUAACUUAACUUACAACAAGAUACAUUAAGAUACAUGUCCACUAAACUUCUAUUACAAACACAUAACCUUAGCCAUAGUCCUGACUUUACUCUUUACUCUUGCUGACUCUGAUCUUUCUCUGAGGCCCUGAAAACAUGGGGUUAAGGAAUGGGGUGAGCUAUAAAGCCCAGUGAGCAGAACUAUAAAAACAUUAAAAACAUAUGCCAUCAUGGAAUGCAUCACAUCACAAUAAAUCACAUCUCGGAUGGACAUGACCACCAAAACUCCCUCUACUCUGUGCCCGGCCCUCAAAGGAACUCCUCAGGACUUCUAUAACAUGCACAUGCACUGUGCCCGGCCCUCAGGGGGAUCCUCAGGACUUCUAAAACAUACACUGUCGGGCUAUUGGGGUCGCCUUGGUCCAUCCAAACAUAAUAUGCAAUGCAUCAUCUUCGUGAUUGCUAAUGCAAUACACCCUACUAUAACAUGAUAUUAUGAUGCAUGGAACAUGCUAAAACAUUCACUUGAAAACAUAGGGUCUAGUUCCACUCACCUGCCACUGCCGGGUAACUCCCAACUCUAACUCUGGGGCCUCCUCGGUUCCUCAGGUCCAAACCUACACAGGUGGACUCAAAUGAGGUACCAAACUAUUCUAACAUAACUCUACACAUCUCCCCAAACCUCCCCUAAAACAUCACAAACAUGCAUGGAAAAACAUGCAAAGAAAGGCUGGACAGGGCACCUUCGGUGGCACAUUCGGCGGCCGAAUGUUCCCUCCAGAGCUGAAACUCAUGCAUGUUCGGCGGCACCUUCGGCUGCCGAAAGUCUCCUCCAGAGACGAAAGCCAGGCACUUUCGGCGGCACCUUCGGCUGCCGAAAGUCCUUUCCAGAGCCGAAAGUCCAAACAUUCGGGGGCAAGUUUAGGCGGCCAAAACCACCUCCACAAGGGUUCGGCAGCCGAAACUACUUUCAGGGGCCGAACCUGAGUUCAUCCAGAACUCAGCCUCAUGCGCAACCAAGCCUCCCAAACAGUCCAAACACCCAAAACAUGCAUCCAACCUCUUAAAAACAUGUAUAAACACUUCUUCUUGCACAUAGGGGCUUAGAACAAGCUCAAAACUCCAAAAACAACUCAUAUAGCAUACAAAGGCAUAAAGGGUCCAUAAACCCUCACAUGCACAACCAUGCAAAACUCAUGCAUACUAACCCUUUCCCUUCAUAAAACUCACUUAAAACACUGUAAAAGCUAAGGAUCUACACUUACCUCUUGAAGAACGAGAGGAUUGGCAAUCCAAACUUGAAGAUAUAGAGAAUCCAGCUCCAAAAGUCUCUAAGCUCCAAAACUCAUCAGAACCACAUAAAACCUACUUAAAACUUGCUUACCUUUGAAAGAUUUGAAGAAACAACAACAAAUCAACCCAAGGAGAUCAAGAACUCACCUAUACCCGAAAAGAGAGAGAAAACUCACCUCAAAUCCGGAUAAGGGGCCUUUUAUAGGUGGCCAACCGCCUCUCCUUCGGCGGCCUAAGCUGCAUGCAAAACCAUGCAACGUUCGGCGGCCGAACUUGGAGUUUCGGGGGCAAAACUUAAGGCACUUUCGGCGGCCGAACAUCACUUUCGGCGGCCGAACCUGGCCAAAACCUCCUUGGUCUUUUCUCUUCAAAACACAACUUCUUUCCACUUAAAACCAUAAAACACUUAAAAACAUUUGAGAAAACCUUUCCUUUACCCUUCUAGAAACCUCCGACAUCCUUGAAUUCCACCGGACGGUAGGAAUUUCGAUGCCUGAAUCUAGCCGGGUAUUACAAUCUACCCCCCUUAAAAACACAUUUGUCCCCGAAUGUUCUUCCUCUAACACAUGCAUACUAAAGCCAUAACAUAAACACAUAACACAUAGAAGAGACAUGGUACUACUAGAGUAAAACUCACGGUCUCCCAAGCACACUAAACACUACUGAGGUGAUUCUAAGGGCUAAUACCAUUAGAAAUUCCUGUUCCUUUACACUAUGACCUGUGUGUCUAUGAUCCGAUCAAACUACUCUAAAUAGGUGAGAUCCCCUGAGAUCUCCACCUCUGGGUCAAAAGAACCUCACUCAGAUCCGACACAACUCCAUAAUCAAGGAAACAAGGAAAACCGAAUAGAUCUCCUCUAAGAAGCAGGUAAACCUAACUGGUAGGAUACAUCCCCAAUCCUUUGCAGGAUUUCAAAGGGUCCGAUGUAUCUUCGAGCUAGCUUACAUCGCUUUCUCAAAACGAAUCACCCUUACUAGGAGACACCUCCAGCAAUACCUCAACGUCUCCCGAACUGCAAUAGCUUCCGCUGCGCACUCUGACUCUUGCCCUUCUCUCUUCAACUAUCUAAAAUGACUUCUUCUCUAACUCUCAACAGGUAGUACCCGAAUCUCCGAUCUAUCUAGGAACAUAAACCGUGCCUACAAGUUGUUCCAAUAGAUCAUCAAUCCUGCAUGGGAAUACCUGUCCUUGGUAGUGACCUUGUCCAACUGCUUACAGUCGCUACAAAGUCUCAAGGAUCCAUCAUUCGUUUCCCACAACCACACUGGAACACUCCAGGGUGAGGUUCUAGGUCAUAUAAAACCCUUAUCUACCAAGCCUCUCUGCUACUCUGACGACUACCUCUCUCUACUCUGCAGGUGCCAUCCUGUAGGGAAGGAAAGAGAUGGCUCUGGAUCCAGACACCACUCCUACUCCAAACUCUAUCUCCCUGCUAGAUGGUAAACCUGACAGCUCGUCUGGGUAACAUCUAAGAACUCUCUAGCCACUGAGGCUGAUUCCCUGACCUGACUGCAGAACUCUCCAACAAGAGCUAGAAACCCUCUAACAACCUUUCCUGAGCAAACUAGGAGCCUGUAGGGCUGACAUCAAACCUCUAGGCACUACUCUGUCCCUUCCAGGGACUACCUCUGAUCCAUCCUGAACUCUGAACAUGACUACCUUGUCUCUGCAGACUCGGUAGCACCACAAGCAGCUAGCCAAUCCACCACUAGAAGGACGUCAAACAGUCACAUCUAGAACCAUAAGGUCAGCUGGAAGGCAUCUACUCUCAACAUGCUCUGAACUAUACUGGCAGACUAACUCUGCCUCUGAUGGAUCACACUUGGGUCUACUCACCCAAAGAGGACACUCUAAGCCUAGAAGCUAUCAAACCCUCCCUCUAUGGCUCACAAAGCAAUAGGGAAAGAGAAACACUAGGGUCCAAAAAUAGCACACACAUCCGAACACCUACAAGUGAACGUACCUGACGUCAUCGUGUUCGAUAUGAUAGCCUCCUGCUGAGUCAGAGUGAAGAUCCAGGCUGAAGCUAACGGAUCUUCCCUCGGGAACCUACACCACCUAAUCCCAGACCGAACUGAAACCUCUACAUGAACUUACACUUACUCUUACUCUUCUCUACCUCUUACUCUACUCUAGCUCACUUACUCUACUUCUUCUUACUCUGCUCUAUCUCACUUACUCUACUUGCGGGGGCUGCACUCAGAGAUGAGAGAUCAACUCUCACUAUACCUGGGGUUAUAAAACCCGAGGCCAUAGCAUCUCAUAGCAACUCUCUCAAGCUCUUCUCUGGCACGCUAACCUCUAGCUCCUAACUCUUCUCUGAACAUCUAUCUAUUAACUUUCUUCUCUGAACAUCUAACUCUACUACUCUCACAGCAGUUGACAUCCUCUAGACAUCAAAAGACCUCCUAGGGUCCCUUGAUGACCCCUCUCUGCUGAUGCUACACUACUGCGCUCUUGGCAGAACAAGGGGAAAGUAUCUGUACCUUUCCUCUCAAGAGAAACUCCUAUCAAUCCUGUAGAUCAACGAGUACCUCUGUAACAACCCGAAAAUCGGACCGCUACCGGCGCUAGGAUCCAGAUCGGCUUAAGGCCGCCGGGACCCGUAGCAAGCCUGACAUAAAACCUGUAAACCUGUAUAAUCCCAUACAUGAUCAACAACAUACAUAAAAAUUAAAACUUUUCUUUCCAUACUCAUCAACCAAACUCAACCUGUGUAUAACAUUUAACAUAACAUUGAUCCCUCUGUGGGAUCUCAUCAGUGCCCCCAAUAGGGGUGGCAUAGCAUAUGUUGAGAUGGGUUACAUAAAUGACAUAAAAUAACCAAGAUCAUGUAUAAAAAGGGAUACAACACUCUAUGGUCAAGCACACACUAAUCAUCCAUAAAUCUCAUUACAUAACUAUACUGUACUUUUACAUUACAAUUUGAUCAUGUCCAUUGUUAACUAUUACAUAAACAGAACUUCUUUACUCUAACCGGACUCCUGCUCUAUACUGCACCUGCAAGCCUGGGGGUAAAGGGAGAGGGGUGAGCUAAAAGCCCAGUGAGUAGAACCAUAAAACAUAUUAUCAAACAUGCUCGUAUGAAAUGCAUCAUAACACAGACAAUUCACAUAAGGGUUGGGUGAACUUGUCACCAAUUAGUCCAAGCUAACAUCGUGCCAGGCCGUAGCAUGGGGUCCUGGUCUUCCUGUCAUACAUACAUUACUUACCAUUAUCCCAGGGCCUCCUCUGGGCUCCUGGUCUUCGAGUCCCACAUUCGUGCCAGGCCGUAGAAUGGGGUCCUAGUCUUUCAUUUCCGUGCCAGGCCGUAGAAUGGGGUCCUGGUCUUCCUGUCAUGGACUAAUUGGGUCAUCCAACAUUCACCCACAUCAACAACAAUCAAUGCAAUGCGGCAUAUUCGUGAAUACUAAUGCAAUCAUCCUAUUGCAUAUUCAUGAUGCAUGAAACAUGAUAAAACAUUUAAUUUAAAAGAUUAAGUUUAGUUCCACUCACCUCUGGCGGACUCUGACAACAUCGAAGCAGCUGAACUCACUGCUGGGGUCCUCGGUUCCUCGGUCCGAACCUACACAGGUGGACUCAAAUGAGGGACCAAACAUGCUAGAACAUAACUCUAAACUACUCCCCAAAAACCCCCUAAAACAUCAUGGAAACAUCACAUAAAAACAUGCAAGAAAUGGCUGAACAGGGCACUUUCGGCGGCAGGUUCGGCGGCCGAAAGUCCCUCCAGAGCCGAAAGUCAGGCAGGUUCGGCGGCACCUUCGGCGGCCGAAACUCCCAGACAGAGACGAAACUCAUGCAUGUUCGGCGGCACUUUCGACGGCCGAAACUGCCCGACAGAGACGAAAGUCUCCCUUUCGGGGGCAAGCUUCGGCAGCCGAAAGGCUGCCUUCCCAGCCAUGUUCGGCGGCCGAAAGUCCUUCGGCUGCCGAACCUGGUUUCUGCCAAAGGGCAGAAACUUGGCUCCCAAUGCACAUUUCGCAUCUAAACUUAUCAAACAUGCAUCAAACCUAUUCCACAACACACAAACACAAGCAUACAUGUUCCUAGGGGUCUCAAACCAUCAUAAACCCCAUCUACAACACAUCAAGCAACUCACAUUGUUCAAGAACACACAUUUAUACCCAUAAACAUAACCAUAACCUAAACAUGCAUUCUAACCCAUAGAUCUUGCAUAAAACUUAUUUAAAACAUAAAACGAGCUUAAGAUCGGCUCUUACCUCUUGAAGAUCGAGAGAGACGACCAAAAACUCGGAGUUGGGAGAGAUUUGGUUCUUGAACCUCCAAGCUCCAAAACUUUGCUCAAAAGCUUAAAUCUUCAAAACCAAGUUAAAACAAGUGAAAAUCUUGAAAGAUUUAGUGGAAGAACAUCGAAAAUGGGUGAGGGACGGCGGAGAGCUCACCUUGGCCGAAAAUGGGGAAAAGCUCGCCCGUUUUCGGCUAAGGGACCCUUUUAUAGUGGCUGGCCAGACCACGUUCGGGGGCCGAAUGUGCCUCUGCAUGCAUGCCAUGUCCGGCGGCCGAACUUGAGGUUAGGCGGCCGAACCUGGACUUCCCUCACUUAUGCUUUCGGGGGCCUAAAGCACACCCGCAACGCAUGCAUGUUCAGCGGCCGAACCUGAGUUUUCCUCAAAUGCUAUUUUCAUGCAAAAACUCAUUUUCUUUCAGGCUUAAAACAUAAAACACAUUAAAACCUUUCAUAAAAACAUGGUUUUACCCUACUAGGGGCUUCCGACAUCCGAGAUUCCACCGAACGGUAGGAAUUCCGGUACCGGAGUCUAGCCGGGUAUUACAACCUCUCAUCCUGCCUGCUAAGAAAAGAGCACACACACAGAAAAACACAGCAUCACAUAAACAUAACAUCAUAUGGGCAUAUCAUCAUAUGAUCCAUGUGGUAACACAUGAACCCCAUACACAUGCAAAGCAUCUCAUCUCAUGGAUGAACUGGUCACCAAUAGCCCUCUACAUCUCCAUAACAUAGAUAUGUCCAACUAUGCCAGGGGCAACACGGCCUCCUGGACUCUCUUACUCUGUACCAGGGCAACUAAGCCAAACCUGGUCUGCUCAACUCACACAUGUCAUCUCAUGCAUGCUGAGGGCUAGAGGAUCCACCAAUAUCCAUCCACAACAUCAUACAAGACAGGACUCCACAUCCUAUCCUAGUGGACAUGAUCUUACUAUUGUGCUUGCCCUCUAAACCAACCUCUUUCCGAUGUGGGAUACCUCUAAUCCCUGAGCAUUUCUGCUCAGCACAUCGUACUCUUGAGGCCCUAUGCUCUGAUACCAAUCUGUAACGACCCGGAAACCGGUACCCCUCUGUAACGGUCCGAACCGCCACCGGCACUAGGAUUCAGAUCGGCUUAAGGCCGCCGAGACCCGUAGCAAGCCGCUAAACUCUCUGCACAGCUGGAAUAAUCCCAUACAUGACCCACAUUUUCUGCUAAAACUUUAAAACUUUUCUUUAAAUACCAAUCUGUAACAGACUGGAAUUCAGUUCUGAAACUGCUUUAAAACUUUGCUUUAAAUAGGCUUAACUUGAGCAGGCUCUGUAUGCACUCUGAGAGUGAUACCAAACUGAAAAAGCCUCUAGGCCUACACCAGUGAAUCCUGAAGCUCUUUGGGUCAAGGGAUUGAAACCCUUUCUUCCCAUAACACAUCCACUGUGUAGCACAGUAUACUACUGUGACCUAGGCUCUGGUACCAUACAGCUGCUCUAAACAUAAAACUGAAAACUGUAAAACUCUUUUACUUCAAACUUUUCUUUCAUUUACCAAGCUUGACCUGUAUGCACUAUGUCUGAAAACAU
rnacentral:lncRNA from 1 species